rnacentral:rRNA from 1 species
AAUCAACGCUGGCGGCGUGCCUAACACAUGCAAGUCGAGCGAGAAAAGGGGAGCAAUCCCCUGAGUACAGCGGCGCACGGGUGAGUAACACGUGGGUAAUCUGCCCUGGAGUGGGGAAUAACACUGGGAAACCUGUGCUAAUACCGCAUACGAUCACAGAGACUGCGGAUUUUGUGAUGAAAGGAGCAAUUCGCUCUAGGAGGAGCCCGCGGCUGAUUAGCUAGUUGGUGAGGUAAUGGCUCACCAAGGCAACGAUCAGGAUCCGGUCUGAGAGGACGGUCGGACACACUGGAACUGAGACACGGUCCAGACUCCUACGGGAGGCAGCAGUGGGGAAUUUUUGGCAAUGGGGGCAACCCUGACCAAGCAACGCCGCGUGGGUGAUGAAGUCUCUUGGGACGUAAAACCCUUUCGACGGGGACGAAACCGCAAGGUUGACGGUACCCGUAGAAGAAGCCCCGGCUAACUCCGUGCCAGCAGCCGCCGUAA